rnacentral:rRNA from 1 species
UAGCACAGAGAGCUUGCUCUCGGGUGACGAGCGGCGGACGGGUGAGUAAUGUCUGGGAAACUGCCUGAUGGAGGGGGAUAACUACUGGAAACGGUAGCUAAUACCGCAUAACGUCGCAAGACCAAAGUGGGGGACCUUCGGGCCUCAUGCCAUCAGAUGUGCCCAGAUGGGAUUAGCUAGUAGGUGGGGUAAUGGCUCACCUAGGCGACGAUCCCUAGCUGGUCUGAGAGGAUGACCAGCCACACUGGAACUGAGACACGGUCCAGACUCCUACGGGAGGCAGCAGUGGGGAAUAUUGCACAAUGGGCGCAAGCCUGAUGCAGCCAUGCCGCGUGUGUGAAGAAGGCCUUCGGGUUGUAAAGCACUUUCAGCGGGGAGGAAGGCGUUAAGGUUAAUAACCUUGGCGAUUGACGUUACCCGCAGAAGAAGCACCGGCUAACUCCGUGCCAGCAGCCGCGGUAAUACGGAGGGUGCAAGCGUUAAUCGGAAUUACUGGGCGUAAAGCGCACGCAGGCGGUCUGUCAAGUCGGAUGUGAAAUCCCCGGGCUCAACCUGGGAACUGCAUUCGAAACUGGCAGGCUAGAG